CUGAACUGCAACUGAGCUUACUACUUUUUAUAGGCCUCUCUGUUAGGCUCUUAACAGAUUCAUUUACCACAUGCUUUACGCAGAGGAUAUAGGAAAAGGGUAAAGGAAAAGAUCAACUGUCCCAGAAGGAAAAGAGCUUGCAGACCACAAGCAGGAAGUGAUUAAUGCAUGAAUCUGUAUUUUGGCAGAGACCAGGCCACAGAAGGGCUGAGAACCACUAUAGACACAGUCCCAGCAGAAGAGGGGAGGGCAGAGGCUCAAUUGCCACACUAGGAAAGACUCCACCAGCAGCCUCAUAUCAUUUUAAGGAUAUGAGCACCUUCCUGCGACAUCUUCAUAGGAGUCACAGCAGCUCUAGCCCACUACACCACAAGAAAUGUGACAGAUAAUUCAUUUGUCACGACAAAAAUCGAGCAAAACAAACAGCAGGGAAAGGGAAGAAAGGCAGAUUAAAUAAUUUCCUUCAAAAUCUAAUACAGCAAAUUAUUCAUUU